UAGGGAGAUGGAUUAUGAGAAAUCAUAAUUAGGGGAGUUUUUUUUUUUUGCUGGUUCAACUCAACCUGAGCCUUAGCAUUUCAGCAUCAGGAAGCAUUAUGAACCAAAAGCCAAAUAUAUUUUUUCUCUGCAAUGAAGGACCCACCCCCUUUAAAGAAAGGUUCUGUGAAAAGAAACUCUGUUAAAUAGCUCCACAGAAACACUUCUACAGCUAGCAAAAGGCUUUGUACAAUUAGCCCACUCACCUUCAGAGGAUUUAUAUUUUGCUGGCAAAUAUGGUCCACUGUAACUACUUUCUUCAGUCUCCUACACAUACAAGAGAAGGACACAGGAGGAUUUGAUCUUGCAAUCAAAUAUGCAGGGAUUUUAUCCAUAAUAAACUAUGUAUGGCAUGAAUAAAACAUUUGUUUGUAAUUUUCUGCAAACAGACCUUUGUAUUUAUGAAGUUGUUGGUUAUGCAUAACUUUAUUUGUAAGUAUGUUACAGCCUGUCAGGGUUUGUCAAACUAUUGUUUUUCAAUUGAUUUUGUCUACUUUGUGACGUACAUGGUCCAUUAUUGCUUCCUCCAAGGAAAUAAAUAAUUAGUCUUUUUCUUAACUGCCAAUACAUAUGUAGCUUUACCCAGGAUCUGAGACAAGCAAAGGUCUAUUUACAUGAAGGUAUAAUGAAAUAUAAAAAGGAAAAACUGUCUAAGUGUAGUUGAACUGAAUGCAUUUGACUAACUGUCCUUGAAUGAAGCUUUACAGUGUUUACUUAGCUUCAUCCUUUAACUUAUGUGGUUUUUCUACCCUAAGAAAUAACAAAAAGCAUUAUGUUCCUGCAGUAUAAUACAAGGGUCACCAGUUCUGCUCUCAUCUAGGAAUUAUCACUUCCUCCUCUCAACUCAUACUUCAUAACCUUUUCAGACAUUGUGACUCACUAUAAUUCUAAAAGAAGAAUGACAAUAAAAAGAUUAAAUGCUUCUGCUAGCAGUAAUUUGAAGUGAAGCCUGUACUUGAACACUUGCUUGUGUAGAAUCUUCAUGCAAGUCCUCCAAAAACAGACUUCCCAGCCAACACUGGUCAUUUUGUUUCCACCAAUAGGUGUGUACACACUAACACCAUCAGGAUGUUCCAUCCAAAAAUUGUGCUUCUGGCUUAAGCUGUCCCUUCAGGAUGAAAAUAUUAGCUGCCUAUUGCUUAUGCAUCUGCUUGACAACUGUACCCAUGAUGACGGAAUUAUGCCAAUCAAAAUGUUGUGUUUCAUCCUUAAUGCAAAUAGUUGCUUUGAAGUGCUCCAGGUUUAUUGGAUGAACAAAUAAUAUGUUUGUGUAAAAUAUUCAGGGAAAAUGCCCAUAACUCAUCAGCAUAUAAUUGCAGUUUGCCUUUAGAUUCACACAGUAUAUCAACAAAUCUUGUUUUAAACGUACAGAGGCUCUUCCAUUUUAACUGGCUCUCCUGGCAGAAACAGUACUGAUAAAUCAGUUUAUCUUCCAGUAUAUAAUAUUGACUCUUAAUAAAAAUCCAAUAUAAAAAUGAAGUAAAUCUCAACCACUUAGAAUCAAGAAUUGGAGUAAGAUUAGGCUUCUGUUCUCUACAGCUCCUGUAAGAGAUAAUGGAGGGACUAUCUCUCUCUUUUGAUAUGUAGGAAUCAAAGAGAGACUAGUUUCCCAACCUGGGGUUUUAAAUCACAUAUGCAAGGUUCAGCUGUGUGAGAACAAUCAUAUUGCACAUUCACUUUCCCCCUCACUAAAUUAACUGGGUAAGACAUCUCCUUACUACAUUCUGUCACCUUCAUGCACCAAUAGCAUGAUUCAGAUCAGCAGUCAUAAAUCACCCUUUACUCCAUUUGCUUAGGAUCUCCACACCUCAUUAUUUAGCCACAGGGUGAAUAUUAUGACACUUGCUGCCAUUCUUUCAAAGAGGUUUGAGAAAAGUGCUGGAAAAUGUUAUGACCAAAAGAUAACUGCAUAGACAUGGAAGAUUAUGAUCAGGAAAAAAGAGCAUUAAGUUCCAGAACUUACAGGCUUCCUUACCUAAAUUAGUAGCUCAGCACAAACUAAAGGGAGAACAGUAUCUGAUUAUCUUUUUAGGUUGUUUGUCUUCCACUAAAAUGUCAGGAACUGGGCAAACCUAAGAUCCCUAGUGUACAUCAGUUACAAAGUGAUCUUUAUGGUCCCUUCCAAUCCAAAGCAUCCCAUGACUCUGUUAAAAAUGUUGGAAUCUUUUAAUAACUAGAGGAUGUGCCAAAGUGAGGAUGAAGUAUGUGCUCAGCCAAUGUCAAAGAAAACAAGCUCUCCUUCAGGUAGCAAACAUGCUGCGUGUACCAAGUCCAUUUUAAAAAGGUUUUCCUGGUCUUUGUCAAGCCCAUAAAAUAAAAGCAUCGUAUAAUAUAAGGAAAAUGAAUUCAAAAUCUAUUUUUGUUCAGCAUUGUGAGCAAGAGUCAAACAUGGCAAAAAAACAAGAAAGAAAAGGAAUCUUCUUCCCUUUUAACAUUUUAUACUGGAGUAAUUUUACUUGGUUCUUAUUACAUAGUCCCACUACAGAAUUCUCUCAACUAGUUCCCAUUCCUCAAAAAGAUUUAACUUCUCCCCUACCAAGCCUUGUAUUGAAUUUAUCUCCCCCUUCAUGGAUGCAACAGCAGCCUCAGUUUAAAAUAGUGAACUCAGCCGCUGAAUGAUUUUGAUACAAAACUCCCUCCCUGCACCUCAGCCAUCAGACUUUCUCAUUGACUUAACCUGCUCUGACUGAGCUAUAAUCAAAUUGUUCAAAUAAUUUGAAAAGCAAUUAUCAUUAAAUACAUUUUUCCAUUCAUCAUUCUAAACUGAUCUGUUUAGACAUAAACAUAGACACAAACCUCACUGUCUUUACAUGAAGGAAGUGUUGCUUGGCUCUUUGUGUAAUUUCUUCCCCAAAAUAUUUGCUGUCAAAUAGGCUAAUUGUUUUCCUCUACUCACACUGAGACUGUCAAGAAGGUAAGUGCACAGCUAACCUUAAUACACACUCUCCCAGGGAAGAGAGUAAUUUUUCAUCAAAGGAACUAUAGUAUACCCAGGAGACAUUAAUAGUUUUAUAGCCAAGUGACCUACAUGUGAAAAGGUAAAACUAUAAUCAGCACAAGAUAUCUUAUAUACACAUAAGAAGCAUGAUUCCAUAUGGUUUAGUGCAUCCAACUCCCUGUUUUCAGUGUAAUGAGCAAGUCAGGCAUUUAAGAAUCUUUUUAAACCUAAAUUAAAUGUUUUGAUGGAGACGAGUGAAGUGUGAAUUCAAAACUGUUAAUUUUGUUAAUUGGCUAAAGCUUGAAAAGAGCCAUAGACCCCUGUGCAACAGAAGAAACAGAUGGAUUAAAGUGAACAGGAGGUGGCAAAAGAAAUUAAUGACAGCAAGCCAAGUUUGAUUGUAAGUCAGUUUGUAUCUAUAUAUUAAUUUUUAAAAGAGCUCCUCUACUUAUAGCAGCUGAAAUAACUUUUAUGACUUGUUUUCUCAUGUUUAACCUCAAGACCUGGUCCCACAGUUUACUUGGAACUGAGAUACCAUAGACUGCUAGAACUGAUAGAGCAUGAUCUGUGUUUUCUUUGUCUCUUUGUAGUUAUGAGAGUAAGACAAGCUGAUAGUGGCUGCAGAAGUAAGGGCCCCUCUAGGUCAGUGUGCAGAAUACUUAUGUAUCAUUUGCAUCCUGGGAAGGAUGAACACAUCACAUGAAAAUAAACCAAACUGGCUGGUGAAUUUCAAAUGCCACUGUUUAAGUGACUAAACUGGUUGCAAGAACAAUUUUCUUUUUGUGUUUAAACUGAUUCUGUUCCUUCUCCCCUAUUUUCUGAUAAUUUGUUCUGUACUGAAUAACAAAAACCUUGAUAGCUUGGUAAUGCUCAGCAAUGCCCUAGGCUUCCUCAAAUGUUAUCUUUGGACAGCAGAUAGCGACAAAGUCAUUAAUUUGGUCAGAAGAAAAAACAAAAGAGCAGCUAAUACCCUAAGCCAUCACUAACAGCAGUAAUGUCCAUUCCUGUGACUGCAGCAGGAAUCACAGGAUAAAUCAUAUUGGAAUAAACUAUAUUCAGUAGAUUUAUAAUCCCGUGAUCUACUAGACUAAUAAGUACUGCUGGGUGAGUGGAAUAUGAAACUGAAGCCAAAGUUUCAUUUGACAUCUCAUAUGGAAUAUGAUGACCUAUUUUCCUCUGGUAAGGAAAAGGUAAAGUUGAGGGUAAGGUCUCUUCUUUCUUUAUUACUUGAGUUCCAGCUAACUUAAAAAGCUGCAUCACUUUAAAAGGAUAUAUUCAGCCCUGUAUCACUUAUAAAUAAAUCAUGGUCUCCAGAGAAAGAGCAGAAAAGGGAAAAGAUUUCUCCCUUUUCCAGUCACUAUGAGCCUCAAACAGUUUUCAGAUGUGUCAUAUGGCCAAACUGCAGUUUCUUGGAGAAACAGUGGUUUGUAAAGGUCUGUGAAAAUAGACAUAUGUAAAGGGUUGAAAAUAUGGUAGGAAAAUAUUUUAUAGUUAAUGUCUAUGCAAACCUAGUCAAUGGUCUUCCAAACAAGGAGCCGAAGGAACAUCAUAUGGUUUAAUAAUGCUUGCUCUGAAUAAAUGGAAGUUACUCCAAUGUUGGAAACUAGCAAUGAAGUAACUGUAGAGAAUUACCUGUUUAUCAUUACUUAAAACAUUCAUACAACUAACAGUACUUUGAACUCUUACCAAAACACUAGUGGAACUACAAGCAGCCAUCAUGGCAUUCUGGAAUCUUCACUGAAGGAUCAAAGAAUCCUCUGCUGAAAAGGCAAGGGAGAAAAAUGGUGUGUAGUCAGUUCUGUCUCAUUAGCUUCAAAUAUUCGGUCUACAAUUCUCCUUCUCUGGAAGACAAAGUAGGAGUGAUCUUCUCCCUGAGCCUAGUGUGAAUUUAGCUUGUGUGUUUGUGUCUCCAUGGAGACAAUGUAAACACAUCUGUUUUCUUUUUACACUUCUGAUGGAAGCAUUCUACACAAAAUUCAUCAUUGCAUGGAACAAAAACAUUAUCUCGAGGCAGAAACUGAGAUCAUUCCUUACACAAUGAAAAAGGAAACCUGUUUUAGUUCAUUUCCAUCAAUGAUCACUGUCACCAGAAGAACAAAGGAGUUUACAGCCAUAUCUUAAAGCUCAGGGUUUGUGUACCUUGAUACUUGAAUAAUAAAAUAAUGUUAAUAAAACAGUUGAUGUUAAGUUCAUGUUACAAGGGGAGAAAAAGAAAUAUAAAUGCAGGAUACUCAUUGUCAUCAGGGAAAAUGCAAUAUUCUACAAUUCUGAAAUCAACAUUAUAAUGCUGCCACAUCUAUUAUACAUUGUUGCCCUUUGUGUAGUCUCUAAAAAUUAGUAAUUCCCAAGACCUGACAACAAAGCUAUAUUGUCUGUAACUUUAUUUUACGUUUCCCCUAACAUCUAUGCGCUACCAGUUAAUGAAAGAAGAGAAGACAUUGCAUUGCAGUGGUGUCAGUUUUGUUCUUUUUGUUAAAGAUUUCCAAGAACUGGCAAAGGAAAACAAAAGUUUAAGCAGGGUUCAUUGUUUCAAUAGCUGAAUGUCUAUUCAGUGCCUAAAGCACGUUAAGCUGGUUUUUUACCAGUCACAAGAACGUCCCAUGCUCCUGGUUAAUCCACUAACAUAAUGGAACAUACCCCUUGCAAACACCAGUCUCCAAAAGGAGAAAAUACAAAAAAAAAAAAAAAAAGU
rnacentral:lncRNA from 1 species